GAGUUCACGGAUCGAGGCAAAAUAAGCUCUCCCCCCGCUCCCGUCCCGUCGAUCAGCCUCGCCUUCGCCGGGGAAAGAGUUAAUGGUCCCUGCCCGGCCGCUUGCUUCCACACACCGCGAAGCCGCACCCCCCAGCUCACCUCGCCAGUCCUGAGACUUCUUAGGCAAUGGGAAAGUACAUUAAAGUUCCAUCUCUGUAUCUGUAAUGGCCCAUUCACACCUGCAAGUUAUCAUGAUGCUAAGUGACUGGCAGGUCAAGGAGCCCUGUAAACUGCAUGCAUAUUGUUUCCCAUAAAAUGGAUGCUAAUUGCUUCUGCAUAUGUUGGGAAACUGCAAUGGGUUCUGGCCUCUAGGUUGCACACAGGUUUCCUACAUGCUAUAGCCUCCAUGCCAUAAUCAUAAACUUAUUGCAAUAUCUCCAUGUAGGAGCUCGGUAUCAU